ACAUGUGAUUCAAAAAGUUUGAGGUUUGGGGAUGUCAUUCCUGUUAGUUGUAAUGGAUGCGAGAUGAUAAACUAUAAUUCCCUUCAUCUAGUUAAUUUUGGGAGGGUAGUCGAAUUACCCCACUGAUAGAAGAAACUAGGCACAACUGUUGCAUAUCACUUGUUCGACGAAUUGCCCGUGUGGUAAAUUUAGGCGCCGGUGAAGUCUGAGUAACCGAGCAACACUGGUAUAUGCUAGUGAAUAAGUGUAGGGUCGUUCGCCUUGAUUGUCGGAAUGUUUUGAGCCUAUGAAAGAUUGUCUAAGGGAAUUGAACAUCCGGCACAUGCUAGACGUCUUGAAUUGUCAAGUGUUACUCGAUUUGAAUUGUGUGAGCUCUAUGCAUUGAUAUGUCGUGAGAAUAAGUGUGGGGUCGAGUGAGCUGCUAUGUGUAAUUGAACAUGGUUAGUGAGCGUCGCUCGGAUAAACCUCAUGUUGUGCAUAAUGAUAUCUAUAUAGCGAAGUGCUUAUUUGUAAACUUGAAAAGAGUUAUCACAUCCCUGCUGAAAGCCAUGGGCUAUAGUUUCAUGAAGUAAUGAAUGACAUGACUAUGCAAAUGAUUGGAAGUGCAAGAUGUUGCAACUGCUUUAUAGCUGAACUUCACUGUUCUAUACGCUCAUUGUUGAUUUCUUCGCAUUGCAGGUACUGAGGCUAGGAAAUGGCAGCAACGAGCAAACAGUCCAAGCAACAAGACAAAGAUAAUAACAAGCAACAGCCCAAAAAGCCCACCGGAAAGGCAACAGGUGCUCUAAAUCCACAGAAAAAAAGGAAGCGGACUGACAAAGAGAAGGAACUGCAGACUAGGCAUUUAAUUGAUGAAUCAGAGCAAAAGGAGGAGGAACAAUUAGUAAGGAGGACAGUGAAGAAGGGUAUUACAACAUCAUUAAAUCCGCCAAGCAAAGGGAUAGAGAUAAGAGAACCUGUGCCGAACCAGAGAAAAGCCUCCAAACAGAGUGAUCCGAAUGAUAAAGGAAAGCAGAAGAUUACUGCAGAAUCUGAGUCCGAGUCCGAUUCGGAUAAUGAGCUUCUACAUGUCGACAUGAGUGAUGAAGAUGAGGGUGAACCAAUAGACCGAGCUGCUUGGGAGAAGAACUUUGUUAAUGAAAAGGCAUUCCGAGCUUAUAAUAAGAUACUGGGUUCAAAGAAGUACAUUCCAGAAAAGCCGAUCAACAUCGGAACACUUAAGAAAAAGUACCCAGAGUUUCUAAAAUCAAUUCGAGAGGUGCAACAAUGGGGACCUAUCUUGUAGGGUCACGGCAAAGCCAACCUCACUAUCGACAGAGAGCUUUACGCCAAUUGGCGUCAUUCCAGGGGCAGCAUUGUGAGAGUACGAGGGGUGGAUAUUAAUGUCUCAGCUGAAGCUCUGAAUAAUUUCUUAGGGGUGCCACACACACUAACAGAUAGGUUUGACUCCACAUGCACAGCACCGGAUUAUGCACACAUUCGGUCGGUCCUAUGCCCUACCAGGAAGGAUGCAAAUUGGAAGCAUGGGAGUAUGGAGUACCAUUCUCUGGCCAAGGAAUUCAUGAGUGCGUUAGCACGUGUGGCUCUAAAUUUCAUAUGCAACCGCCUGAUGCCAUGCCAACACAAAACUGAUGUCCCUCGUCACCGAGCACUAGUAUUGUAUGCUUUAUUGGAGGGGAUACCGCUCAACUUGGGAGCCAUCAUGCAUGACCAAAUGCAGCGCAUCAGGAUGAAUUACAAGUGGAGGUUGUUCUUUGCAAAUACCCUAUCGGCUUUCUUGACAGAGAUGGGAGUACUAUGGGACAAGGAGAAUGACAACAUUGAGGCUAAAGCUCCAGGACCAUAUGAUGUUACUCAUGUACUAGAGCCGAACAAGGGAAGGUCUUCUAAGCUCACCAUUCAACAGUUGUUUGAGUAGAUGCAAACUGAUAUGCAAGAGAACAGGGCUGAGUUGAUAGCGACUCGUGUAGAGUUGAGUGCCACCAGGGACGAGUUGAGUCAGACUCGUGCGAAUCUAAGCCGAGUUCAGACUGAGCAGGCCACGAUGAUGAGGGAGGUAUCAUUACUCCUCCGUGCUCUGGUUCAACGUGCAGAUAUAGACAUCUCAUAGCUGCUUGCAUCGUCCACUGCUGAACCAUCAACUUCUGCUUCUCCUAUAGUCCCCGAGGCCCCACACACCAUGCCUGUUGAGGCCGAUGUCCCACCUACUACAGACUCAGCUCCAGUUGGUGAUGAUGGGACUGUGACAGCUCCCCAUAUUCGUGAGGAUGCUAUCGCCAGGCCGGAGGGGGUCUUAAUGAAUGCAAUGGAUGCUGAUGCUCUUCCACAGACUGCGGAUGAGCCUUCCACCUUGACUUGAGGGGAGUUUCUUCUCAUCCUACUUUACGUUAUUUGUGUGCAUUGGGGGCAAAGCACGGUUUUAAAUGUGGGGUGGGGGUUAUCCUUAUGCUUGUGGAUGAAUGUACUUAACUGUUACAAUUUUUGUUGAUUUUGAUACUGUUGAGGGCUGUAAUAUUCACUGGAUUAAUGGCCUGUAAUAGUUAGUACAUGUCAUCUAUAUGGAGUAACUCUCAGUUCAUUGUUGUGUGUAGUCGUAGAAAAUAAAGGACUUUUCCCGACGACGGACUACCUGGACAGUUCUCUCGAG
rnacentral:lncRNA from 1 species